CGACGUGGAUAGCCUGCCUCACACUGGGGGAUAACAGUUAGAAAUGACUGCUAAUACCGCAUAAGCGCACAGCACCGCAUGGUACAGUGUGAAAAACUCCGGUGGUGUGAGAUGGAUCCGCGUCUGAUUAGCCAGUUGGCGGGGUAACGGCCCACCAAAGCGACGAUCAGUAGCCGACCUGAGAGGGUGACCGGCCACAUUGGGACUGAGACACGGCCCAA
rnacentral:rRNA from 1 species